UGCCUGGCGGACAACUGUAUAUAAAGCUUCUUUAUCUUUUUGAGUCGUAUGAGUGGGUGGACAUUGGUAAUAAUGGGGAACAGAGAAUGAUGAACUUAGGAGGCUCAUGAGAAGAUGUAUAGGAGAAGGCAUACAUCCUGCAAGGAUAUCACGGUUCCUGAGAGGAACCUUACAAGAAGGAAAACCACAAGGGAAGUUGUAAAGAUGGCUGGAGCUGCACCAUGGAGGCCCUUGUUCAUCAUGUUUUCAUGUUUAGACUUAGCCAGCUAUAAAGGAGGAUCUACUGGAGCUUGGAUCUCAACCCAGGUGAUUCCAUGAGAGCUGGUGAGAGCUGG
rnacentral:lncRNA from 1 species